GAUGAAGAACGGAGCGAAAUGCGAUAAGUAAUGUGAAUUGCAGAAUUCAGUGAAUCAUCGAAUCUUUGAACGCACAUUGCGCCCGCCAGUAUUCUGGCGGGCAUGCCUGUUCGAGCGUCAUUUCAACCCUCAGGACCCUUUGGACCUGGUGUUGGGGCUCGGCCGCUACCCCGCGGCCGUCCCCGAAAGAUAGUGGCGGUCUCGCUGUAGCGUCCUCUGCGUAGUAAUUACACCUCGCACUGGAACGCGGCGCGGCCACGCCGUUAAACACCCCACUUCUCAAGGUUGACCUCGGAUCAGGCAGGAAUACCCGCUGAACUUAAGCAUAUCAAUAAGCGGAGGA
rnacentral:misc_RNA from 1 species